rnacentral:rRNA from 1 species
AGUGGAUGGGGAGCAACCUAGUUGUGCGUGUGUAAAGGUAGUGCCAAGAAAAGCGAUGAUCAUUUUGAAAAUCAAUUCCCGGUACCCGAAACCGACACAGGUGGGCAAGUAGAGAAUACUAAGGGGCGCGAGGUAACUCUCUCCAAGGAACUCGGCAAAAUGACCCCGUAACUUAGGGAGAAGGGGUGCCACCGAGAGGUGGUCGCAGUGAAGAGGCCCAGGCGACUGUUUAGCAAAAACAUAGGUCUCUGCAAACUCGAAAGAGGAGGUAUAGGGGCUGACGCCUGCCCAGUGCCGGAAGGUUAAAGAAGUUGGUCAGUCUUAGGAUGAAGCUAGCGACUGAAGCCCCGGUGAACGGCGGCCGUAACUAUAACGGUCCUAAGGUAGCGAAAUUCCUUGUCGGGUAAGUUCCGACCCGCACGAAAGGCGUAACGAUCUGGGCGCUGUCUCGGAGAGAGGCUCGGCGAAAUAGGAUUGUCUGUGAAGAUACGGACUACCUGCAUUUGGACAGAAAGACCCUAUGAAGCUUUACUAUAGCUUGGAAUUGUGUUCGGGCUUCCUGUGCGCAGGAUAGGUGGGAGGCGUAGAAGGUAUUCUUGUGGGGAUACUGGAGCCAACGGUGAGAUACCACUCUCAGGAGGCUAGAAUUCUAACUUAAUUAAGGACAGUUUCAGGUGGGUAGUUUGACUGGGGCGGUCGCCUCCAAAAAGGUAACGGAGGCGUACAAAGGUUCCCUCAGACUGGUUGGAAAUCAGUCGAAGAGUGCAAAGGCAGAAGGGAGCUUGACUGCGAGAAGUACAGUUCGAGCAGGGUGGAAACACGGUCUUAGUGAUCCGACGGUGCUGUGUGGAAGGGCCGUCGCUCAACGGAUAAAAGUUACUCUAGGAUAACAGGCUGAUCUCCCCCAAGAGUUCACAUCGACGGGGAGGUUUGGCACCUCGAUGUCGGCUCAUCGCAACCUGGGGCGGAAGUACGUCCCAAGGGUUGGGCUGUUCGCCCAUUAAAGCGGUACGUGAGCUGGGUUCAGAACGUCGUGAGACAGUUCGGUCCAUAUCCGAUGUAGGCGUGAGAAUAUUGAGAGGAGCCUUCCUUAGUACGAGAGGACCGGGAAGGACGCACCGCUGGUGUACCUGUUAUGAUGCCAAUUGUAAACGCAGGGUAGCCAAGUGCGGAGAGGAUAACCGCUGAAAGCAUCUAAGUGGGAAGCCCACCUCAAGAUGAGUAUUCUGGUGUAAGGUCACGGGAAGACGACCCGUAAAUAGGCACGAGGUGGAAGUGCAGAGAUGUAUGAAGCCGAAGUGUACUAAUAGACCGUCGGCUUGACC